ensembl:lncRNA
CAGGUCCCAGUCACAGCCAGAGUCGAAAGACUGGUGUCUCUCAUAUCAGGGCUCCUGAAACCAGUGCGGAAAUGACCAGUGACUUUCCUUCCGUUACUGCAGGUGUGUUAUUUAUUUUGACUUCACUGGUUCAAAACAGUAUGUUCAUUUAUUAUAAAAUGGCCAUUGUUCAAUGCUAUUCUCUUUUGUUGUAAUAAACUACUGUUUUUAAAUAUUUUGCAUUGUUUUAAAAAGAGUCCUUCCUUCAAGAGCUUAAAAAGCUCACUGUUUGAGGAAAUACAUGAGGAUGAAACGGUACUUCAAGCCUCAACAGACUGGUCGACCCGAAAGAGCCUCAUAUCAGGGUGGUGGGAGAAAGAGAGACCCCGACUGGUCAACACCAUGGUGGCUGGACAACAUGCGGCAACUCGGAUCUGCCAACAUUGUGGAAAUGGUCCAGCCGUAAUCCGUUGUUGUGACUGCCGACCACACCCAUUCCUCUGUGGCCAGUGUGAUGUCAGGGUCCACCGAGGUCAAGUGUUCCACAACAGGGAUUCGAUGACACAUGCAUUCUUUCAUCCAUUGCCUCCCACAACUUGUGUUGUGGAGAGGGUUCUAACCCAGUGUGAGCGUCUUGUACCUUUGGAGAUGCCAGAGACAAUAUGCGGUUGUCUACGAGUAUCGUCCAGUGUCAUCGCAGGACAGUCCAUAGUUGUGGUUACAAUGAAUGGGCGAUAUGAUCUCAGAUUGCCUCAGAUUAGAUGCAAAGCAUGUGAAGCCACUUGGAGUCCUGGAGUGGAUGACCUGAUCCGUAAUGACUACUGGCCUGCCACUUCUCACUAUUCAACUGUGUAUGCAACAGAUGUCCUUUUUUCUUUUGAAGAGCUGAAGAUGGCAGCACCAGGGAUGUCUAGCCAAGCAUUUCUUAGAAUGCUGGAUCAACGCACUGUUCGAUUUGGCCGUAGUGGAAACAUCACAGCAGACAGCUUCCGGAAAAGCUUCUUGGAGUGGGAAGCUGUCCGAUUCGAAGUGGACAAAUUAUGCCAGGAGGACCACUUUGACUGCCCAGCGUGCAGCCCAGACAUGCUUGCAGUAUCCGUUGAUGGAAACCAUCGGAGGAAAAAGCCAUCUUUGAUGGCGUGUUCAUCGCAAAUGAUGAUGAUGUCGCAAGAUUCGUGGACUAUGUCCAUACCUCAACCAGUCAUGUCUCUGGAAGAGGUGUCUGUGGAGGGCAAUGGUCAGCGGCGCGUGAAACUUCUCAGAAGUCCUCAGGAAAAACAGACGAGGAGGGCCUGGAACUCGCUGUAUGUCGUCAUGGGGUUCUCCUUCGUGCCCUCACUAUGUUCAGGGGGAGAUUUUUUUGCCUACCCCCUGUACCUCCAAAAGCAAAUGGCCUGUAAGCCAGUUAAAUUUUUUGCAAUGGAUGUGGCAUGCAAGUACUGGCCUUACCUCCAGAGAGUGACAGAGAAAUGCCCUGAGCUUGAGGAUCUCCUCACCAUGAGGCCAUUUCUUUCUGUUUUUCAUGCCAAAGCUCAUGAUUUCAAAUGUGAGGUAAGAAAAAAUGAUUGUCCAUGA